rnacentral:lncRNA from 1 species
CUUAAAUCCCUUACCUAUGUACCAUUAACUCUCUAACCAUAGAAUUAAACAAGCCUAUUUGAUUUUAAUAUUUGUUAUCGCACUUGAUUAUUAUAAUCUUUUCUUUCUUUCAUGAUUUCCCUUUCUAUCUGCAAAGGUUUAUUUACCUCAAUUUAUCUGUCUUAUUCUUCUCUAUUUUUUUUUAUUUCGAGACUCACUGUCAUCAUCACCGGAUAUUACCUUCUUUAACUAACACCAACAUCAAACAUCAUCCUCUCUAACACCACCACCAUAUUGAUCAUCUUAACAAUCACGUUAGUGUCAAAUCCUUUAUUAAAACCUCUCUUUUAUUAAUUUUCAUUGGACAACAUUCUAAAACUAAAGUUUUUUUUUAUAUUUGGGAUGAAUUACAAUCAAUUUGCAGGUGAUCAAUGAUUAAAUAAUAAUAAAG